rnacentral:rRNA from 1 species
CUAUGGGAGAUUAAACUGCCUCUGAAGAUUAGAAUCUUCCUAUGGCAACUAGUAAGAGGGCACCUUCCAUCUGGCACGAAGGUGCUUAAGCGGAAUGGCCCCUCCGAUGGCCUAUGCCCUCUGUGCUCGGUCCCUGAAGACUCGAACCACAUCUUCUUUUCUUGCCCCUUCGCAAGAUUCUUAUGGAGUUGCAUGCGCGAGAUCGUAGGUGGCAGUUGGUGCCAUACUAACCUCCCGGAUAUGUUUGCGGAAGUUCUUACCUUCCCUAGCUUUGCGCGUCCCUCCCUCUUGGUGUUGGUCGGAUCACAGUUGUGGACAUUAUGGAAUGUCCGUAAUAAAUUGGUGAUUGAGCACAGCAUUCCUCAGUGUGACACUAACGCCGUAUACAAACUGUGUGGCUUUUUACAGCUCUGGAGGCCGCUUAGCAAGCGCCAAGACCGCCUCUUCAUCGACAGGAUGAUCACCCACCUCCGCUCCACCGCCUCCAGACUCGCGCAACCACUCCAGCAACCGCUUCCUCCACCACCGCCGGAGCCGGAUUAG